UACGAAGGGGGCUAGCGUUGCUCGGAAUCACUGGGCGUAAAGGGUGCGUAGGCGGGUCUUUUAAGUCAGGGGUGAAAUCCUGGAGCUCAACUCCAGAACUGCCUUUGAUACUGAAGAUCUUGAGUUCGGGAGAGGUGAGUGGAACUGCGAGUGUAGAGGUGAAAUUCGUAGAUAUUCGCAAGAACACCAGUGGCGAAGGCGGCUCACUGGCCCGGUACUGACGCUGAGGUGCGAAAGCGUGG
rnacentral:rRNA from 1 species